rnacentral:lncRNA from 1 species
GUAAGGCCUGGGGACAAGAUGGUCCCAUAGGUGCAGCUGGGCUGACUCAGCCACCAUCUUGGACCUUUGGGUCACCUGGUGUCCCACCACCCUGCUCAUCUAUGCUUCGGCCAAAAGACGCAAAUGCCUAAAGAGAUUUAAAGUCAGAGGAGAUGGCAGCAUGAGAAGGACUCAGACCAUUGUUGCUGGCUUUGAAGAUGGAGAAGGGCCCAUGAGCCAAGAAACACAAGCAAGCUCUAAGUUGGAAGAGGCAAGGAAACGGACCCCCUCCCCUGCCAGAGCCUCCCGAAGGAACCCAGGCCUGCCAACACCUUGAUGUUAGCCCGGUGAGACCCAUUUCACACUUCUGAUCUGCAGAACUCCUCUCUCGCUGUUGACUGCAUCUUACCUGGAGGAAGAAACUGCGUCUUGCCUGGAGAAUGAGUUGAAAAACAGGGAGGGAAGCCGACUCAGGGUGUGGUGUCCCCGCCUGCCUUCUCCACACACACAUUCUCCUUCGGGUGUCUCAGCAUACCAGAGGUGUGGUUAGGGUGAUCACUGAUUCAGGAUUGCAGAGGACCAAAGAUGAAGAGGAAUGCUGGGAAAUAAUACGUAGAAGGAAAGAAGACUUGAGUCACCACGUCAGACUGAAAUCCAGUGUGACAUCAGUCUCAAAAUGUUUUGUUCUUUUGGGGAUAAUGCACCAAGUUAGCAUCCCCCAUUUUGCAUCAUAACCAAGGUUACUAGGCCAGAAUAGGGCACGGCAUGGGUGUUUCAUCCUGAAGCCAUUUCUUUUUUUUUUUUUUUUGCAAAUCAGUGGACCAGAAACUGAAGCAAAUUUCUGGCGAGGGUCACCGGAUCCCACUUUCAUCUCUUUCAGCUUCAAGAAGCCAAGGGUCAGCUCCAGAAUUAGCCUGAUAUUUGAGAACAAAUUGCAUUGCUGGCCUUAAUGUAUAAUAAUGGCAGUUUUUAAUCAACCUCCUCCGUUUUCAGCUAAUAUAAUCUAAAGUAAUCAAUAAAAUUAGUUGUGAGCCAAGCAAUAGGACAAGACCAAUAGGUAAUUCUGUAGUCAUUUUUAAUAUAAAAUCAAGUAAAUUAACUUCAACAGGCAUUACAAAGUUGCGUAUUAUGUGAUCAGUCUGCUUCUGGGUCCUUUCAUUCCUCUGAUUAACAUGACAGUUAAACAUAAUCCCAGCUUUUAGAGUUAUUGUUACCUAAAAGGAAAGAGAAAAUAGGUAUGUGUCCAAUAAUUAUAUGUAGAAAGAAAGCAACAGUGUUAUACAACAACGCAUACAUUCCUCAGUGUGGGUAGAACAAUGAUGGGUCAUAAAAUGCAGUCGGUCAGAGAGAACUUUCUGGAGGAUUUA